UACGGGGGGAGCAAGCGUUGUUCGGAUUUACUGGGCGUAAAGGGCGCGUAGGCGGCGCAACAAGUCACUUGUGAAAUCUCCGGGCUUAACCCGGAGCGGUCAAGUGAUACUGUCGUGCUAGAGUGCGGAAGGGGCUACUGGAAUUCUCGGUGUAGCGGUGAAAUGCGUAGAUAUCGAGAGGAACACCUGGCGGCGAAGGCGGGUAGCUGGGCCGACACUGACGCUGAUGCGCGAAAGCCCAGGGGAGCGAAACGGG
rnacentral:rRNA from 1 species